rnacentral:rRNA from 1 species
GACGAACGCUGGCGGCGUGCUUAACACAUGCAAGUCGAACGGAAAGACCCUGCUUUUGUGGGGUGCUCGAGUGGCGAACGGGUGAGUAACACGUGAGUAACCUGCCCUUGACUUUGGGAUAACUUCAGGAAACUGGGGCUCAUACCGGAUAGGAGCUCCUGCUGCAUGGUGGGGGUUGGAAAGUUUCGGCGGUUGGGGAUGGACUCGCGGCUUAUCCGCUUGUUGGUGGGGUAGUGGCUUACGAAGGCUUUGACGGGUAGCCGGCCUGAGAGGGUGAACGGCGACAAUGGGACUGCGAGAGGGCGCAGAAGCGUACGGGAGGCAGUAGGGGGGAAUAUGGCACAGCGGGCGGAAGUGUGAGGCAGCAACGCCGGGUGCGGGAUGACGUCUUUUGGGUGGUAAACCGCUGUCGACUGUGACGAAGCGGGAGUGACGGUAACGGGUAAAGAAGCAACGGCUAACUACGUG